UCGUGCGUGGCUCAAUGGUAGAGCGCAGAUCAAGUAUCUGAGGUAGUUGGUUCAAUUCCAACCGCACAGG
rnacentral:tRNA from 1 species